rnacentral:rRNA from 1 species
GUGUCAGCAGCCGCGGUAAGACAGAGGUGCCAAGCGUUAGGCGGAAUCACUGGGCUUAAAGCGCGUGUAGGCGGGUCGUUAAGUACCUUGUGAAAUCCCACGGCUCAACCGUGGAACUGCUCGGUAUACUGGCGAUCUUGGGCCACUUAGGGGCUAGCGGAACAAAUGGUGGAGCGGUGAAAUGCGUAGAUAUCAUUUGGAACGCCAAUGGUGAAAACAGCUCGCUGGGGGUUUGCUGACGCUGAGACACGAAAGCCAGGGGAGCAAACGGGAUUAGAUACCCCGGUAGUCC